rnacentral:misc_RNA from 1 species
UGAAAAUUAUUAGAUUAGAACAUUAAAUUCAAAAAUUUUCUUCUAGGGUUUCAUGCAUUAUGCCACAUCUCUUUUGUGCCUAAUUAAUUUUAAUGUUCAAUUGCAUAUUAAAACACUUUUAAUAUGUAUUAGGAUCUAUGUUUGUCAUUCAAGAUUGUGAAUUAACAAAUUAAUUCAUUUAAAACCCUAGUUUAAAAGAGGAGAUAGAGCAUUAACCUCUUUGAUACACCAUGGAUGUAAUUGGCACAUUUAGGAAGUACCUAAGACUCAAAGUGUUGUCCCUCUAGCUUGUUCACACUAAGAUCAGCAAUGGGCAGCCCCCAAUUUGCU